GGGGACACGGAACUGGUGGGAUCGCACCAUGGCCUGGGCCCCUCUGCUCCUCGCGGUGCUCGCCCACAGCUCAGGUUCCCUGGUCCAGGCAGCGCUGACUCAGCCGCCCUCGGUGUCGGCGAAGCCGGGAGAAACCGUCAAGAUCACCUGCUCCGGGAGUACCUACAACUAUGGCUGGUACCAGCAGAAGGUGCCUGGUCGUGCCCCUGCCACUGUGAUCUAUGCUAACGACAAGAGACCCUCGGACAUCCCUUCACGAUUCUCCGGAUCCAAGUCUGGCUCCACGGGCACGUUAACCAUCACUGGGGUCCAAGCCGAGGAUGAGGCUGUCUAUUUCUGUGGUAGCUGGGACAGCAGCAGUACUGGGAAGUGGGGAGAAGCCCAGCCACCAUCUGUGGGCAUCCUGCUCUGGUCUCUGGGCUCCCUGUCACUUCAGGGCUGA